AUGCCUGGGCAUGUUAGCUGUUUGUCUCAUGAGUAUCUCAUUCAGAAGUUUUCAUCAGAAUUUAUUUUUACUAAAAACGUAAUUUUAAAAAUGGUACCAGAACUUGCAUGUUUUGCAAAGGAAAUAAUGCUGCUACAUGACUUGACAUUUUACUCUUGUUUAUGCAUUCUUACAGGCUCUAAAGGCUCAGGUCAAAGGAAUGGAAACAAUGUCCUCAAGGGCUUCAGAAAUACAGUCUGUCAGAAAAUACCUGAAGGCUCUCAUGAAAAAAGUCAGUACUGCCCUGGAAAAAAGCAAAGAAUUGAAGGACAAAUUGGAGAUAGCGCUAUGGAUAAGCCAGACGUCAGAGGAUAAAACAGACCAGAUGUAUGGCCUUGGAGUGAAGGACACUAUUAGGUUGUGCCUGCAGACUCCCUCAUUUCCUAGACGUAUAGUGAGGAGCUGGCUGGUGAGACCCUGUAAUGCAGCUCCCACCACAGCAGAACAGACUGGAAGGCUGCAGGUGAGCUAACUGACAAGCUAUGAAAAUCUGAAAAGUGCUUUGAGUUGAGUGAGACCCUGGCUGGGCAGGACUGUGAGCUGGCUGUGUAGGACCUUGUAGGAUCAUGCUAUUUACUUGUUUUAGUGAGGUGAGUGGGUGAGGUGACAGCAAAGUUGGCCUGUAAAAUACUGAAGUAUAUUUUCUGAACUGCUGAGGGAGUACAGCAUAUUUAUUCUGCUCCUUAUAUGCUGUUAUCAAUUUCUCAUGCUGGUGUGGGAUACAGGAAUUUUCUCCUUGUCUAUGUUCUCAUUGUAUAGAGAGAUUGACCAUAUUUUUACAUGAAGUGCUAAAGGGCCUUGUUUGGGAUGACAGUAAAAGAUGAGUGGCCUAGCUCAUGUGCCAGUGUUCAGACAUUUGCAGGUGGAAAUUAAUUUUGGUACAGUGGGUGCAAGCAUCAGCUGAGCUAGGGUAAUGUCAUGGGUGCUCCUGUCCUGUACCGUUUGGCUUGGUUAACUCAAGCUUGUUAUUGGGUAUGCUUACUGAAAGCGCUAUGGAUGCAGCCUUAGAUGUCAGGUAACUUCCACUU
rnacentral:lncRNA from 1 species